ACGCUAGCGGCAGGCCUAACACAUGCAAGUCGAGGGAGAGGUUACUUUCGGGUAACCAAAACCGGCGCACGGGUGCGUAACGCGUAUACAAUCUGCCUUUCACAUAGGGAUAGCCCGAAGAAAUUUGGAUUAAUACCUAAUGGUAUAUAAGAGUGGCAUCAUUUUUAUAUUAAAGCUACGGUGGUGAAAGAUGAGUAUGCGUUCUAUUAGCUAGUUGGAGAGGUAACGGCUCCCCAAGGCGACGAUAGAUAGGGGUUCUGAGAGGGAUGUCCCCCACACUGGUACUGAGAUACGGACCAGACUCCUACGGGAGGCAGCAGUGAGGAAUAUUGGACAAUGGUCGGAAGACUGAUCCAGCCAUGCCGCGUGCAGGAUGAAGGUCCUAUGGAUUGUAAACUGCUUUUGUAAGGGAAGAAUAAGGAGUACGUGUACCUUGAUGACGGUACCUUACGAAUAAGCAUCGGCUAACUCCGUGCCAGCAGCCGCGGUAAUACGGAGGAUGCGAGCGUUAUCCGGAAUCAUUGGGUUUAAAGGGUCCGUAGGCGGGCUGAUAAGUCAGAGGUGAAAGCGCUUAGCUCGACUAAGCAACUGCCUUUGAAACUGUCAGUCUUGAAUGAUUGUGAAGUAGUUGGAAUGUGUAGUGUGGCGGUGAAAUGCUUAGAUAUUACACAGAACACCGAUAGCGAAGGCAUAUUACUAACAAUUUAUUGACGCUGAUGGACGAAAGCGUGGGGAGCGAACAGGAUUAGAUACCCUGGUAGUCCACGCUGUAAACGAUGGAUACUAGCUGUUUGGAGCAAUCUGAGUGGCUAAGCGAAAGUGAUAAGUAUCCCACCUGGGGAGUACGCACGCAAGUGUGAAACUCAAGGAAUUGACGGGGGCCCGCACAAGCGGUGGAGCAUGUGGUUUAAUU
rnacentral:rRNA from 1 species